rnacentral:lncRNA from 1 species
UUAAACACACAAAGUCCGUUAUUCAAGUACAUCACAAAUCAUAUUCUAAUUUGAAAUGCAACAAACAUAAUGGUUCUCUCAUGAGGGAAAUGCAAUAGCUUGUCUUCAUUAAUUACUCUGGUAAACUAAAACGUCUGGCCCAUCAUUGGAAAAUGUCUUCUUUGCUUUGAGAGCUACAUCAUCAUGGUAAAUCGAACCGUCAUUUUUUGUCUCAAAAUAUGGCGUUUGUUCUUUAAGUGUAACAUCAUUGUGAUAUAUAGAUAGAUCAAGCCUCGGAUCAAACUCCUUUUUGAGACCUGCAUCAUUAUGGUGAUUUGUAAAAUCAUGUUUUGUCUCAAAAUAUAGCUUAUGUGCUUCAAGAUUGGCAUGGUUGUGGUUUUCAGUUGUGCGACAAUCGGCUUUCUCUUUUGUGGAGGUAGAAGCUUCAACGAGUGCUUGUAAUGCUUCUGGCAGUGGCUGAUCUUUCAUUUCCCUACUCCAAUAUUCACCCACAUCUUUUCUUGCAUUGACAGUGCUUGAGAACUGCAAAAUAAAAAUAAUAAAACUCACUCGUCAGUUUAUUUAAGAAAAAUAAAACUUAUAUCAUUAAUGGGUUUCAAUUAGCUAAUCUUCAUUGAUCCAUUAAUGUAUUUAAACACACAUACACAUUAAGAACAGACUUUUUUCUUUUUUUUUUUUUUUUUUUUUGAAAUUUCAUUACUAAUUAACAGACUAUUACUAACCAAGAUAAGUAAGAAGAUAGAGAGGAAAGCAAAAAGCAAUUUCAUCUUUUUUGCAGAGAAGAAAUUAGACAAUGUGUAGUGUUAUUUGAGUGGAUAUCCGUCGUCCCUGAUAUCGUCACUAUUUAUAGCCAAAAUCAAAGAAUGCAAAAAUAUAAAGAAAUUAUUAUGUAAGGUGCAAAUAAGGUGACCUCUCAUUUCAUAUUGUCCUUCUUGUCGUAAUACGACAAAUAAAUAUCAUAAUCUUGGGAGGUACCCAAAUCGUGUAUUAGGUACCCAAAUAACAUACGACGUAAUUACUAUAUGUAAUCUCUAGGUUUUAUUCAAAUAUACUAAUAAAACUUUAGUUUCUAAAAUUAUACUACGAAGUCUUUACAUUAUAAUUUCGUUACACUAUAGAGUCUAAUUAUUAGUUUUUUCGUUAAGUGACUGUAAAAUAUUAAAAGCACCCCUAAACAUAAUUAGUAUAUAAUCCUUACUAUUAGGUGAAAUACACUAAUAAAGACAUUAUUUUUCAUACCUUUACAUUAUUUAAUCCCUAUAUAUAGUAAUUGUGUUUAGGGUUAUUUUUAAUAUUCCACAACAAUUUAAUAAAAAAAAAACUAACCGCUGGACCUUAUAGUAUAAUAGAAUUAUAAUGCUGAGAUUAAAUAGUGUAAUUUUAAAAAUGAAAGUCUUUACUAAUGUAUUUGAUAUAAACCUAGGAACUAUAUAGUAAUUAACACAUAACAUAAUCUUAGGCUAAUUACUGUUUAGUCUUAUAUUAUAAUCAAAUAUAUAAAUUAGGAAUUUAGUUUUUUCAAAAUUCUAUUUUUUUUUCCUACCCUAAAACUUUUGCGAGUACAAGAUUAGUACAUUAUGAAUACUGGAAUAGAUUUGAGGUCAUUAAAAAGUACAAUUUUAUAAAUUAAAGUAUUCUAACAGGUAGAAGUGAACUUUAAAGGUUUGAAAUAUAUAUAUAUAUAUAUAUUUAAACAUCAGUAAAAAUUGAAUUUAAGAUAUUUUGAUUCCAAAACUCAACGCUUUAAUCACUUGGCUAAAAUACAUUUAGUUUAACUGUUUGUACUUGCUGAUAUCGGUUGUUUAUAAUUGCUAGUUCGUGGCUGAUAGUUAUUAAUUGAUAAUGUAUAGUUUUUUUUAUAUUACUCUCAUAUACAAUAUAUGUUAUUUUUUAAGGUAAAUAUAUUAUUUUUUUUAUUUUAACAAAAUCAUACACCUGUGCAUUGCUCAAAUUAUAGUAUAGUCUUUUAUUGAAAAUAUUAAAUACUUUAUUUAUUAAUAAUUUAUGAUAUAAUUACACUCCUAAAAAAUAAUUUAUUUUGUCAUUCUAGCAUGGUAACUUUGCAUCUUUGCGGAUUUAAAUGAUAAUCUAGUUCUUUGCAUUUAACCCCAAAAUAAUCACAUGAAAAGGAAAAAAAAAAAAAAAAUCUUUUGAAAAGGUUGUUUGCUUGUGGAUUUCAUUUCCCUCUGUAUUCUAUUUUUGCUUUUGGUUUUCAGUAUUUCAUACCCUUUUUUGGUUUGUAAAUUUGGUUUAUUGUUGUAGAUCAACAUUUUCUUUUUCUGGUUGAAAAUUGAUGAAAUCUAUGUGUUUCUCCAAUAUUACAUGGUUAGCAAUAGCAACUUAGCAUACAGAGCAAUCCAUGUUAGUAAAUAAUUAGCUAGCUUUCUAAAUAUUUCAAGAAUAAAAUCAUAUAUUUUCAAUAUUUAUUUUGCAUUCCCAAUUCUAAAGAUACAACUAAAGUGAUGCAAACAUAUAUAGAAACAUAUGAUGCAAGAGAAACUGCUUACAUAGCUUCAACACACGAAGUCCGUUAUUCAAGUACAUCACAAAUCAUAUUCUAAUUUGAAAUGCAACAAACAUAAUGGUUCUCUCAUGAGGGAAAUGCAAUAGCUUGUCUUUAUUAAUUACUCUGGUAAAUUAACAUGUCUGGCCUAUCAUUGGAAAAUGUCUUCUUUGCUUUGAGAGCUACAUCAUCAUGGUAAAUUGAAGCGUCAUUUUUUGUCUCAAAAUAUGGCGUUUGUUCUUUGAGUGUGACAUCAUUUUGAUAUAUAGACAGAUCAAGCCUCGGAUCAAACUCCUUUUUGAGACCUGCAUCAUUAUGGUGAUUUGUAAAAUCAUUUUUUGUCUCAAAAUAUAGCUUAUGUGCUUUAAGUGUGGCAUGGUUGUGGUUUUCAGUUGUGCGAAAAUCGGCUUUGUCUUUUGUGGAGGUAGAAGCUUCAACAAGUGCUUGUAAUGCUUCUGGCGGUGGCUGAUCUUUCAUUUCCCUACUCCAAUAUUCACCCACAUCUUUUCUUGCAUUGACAGUGCUUGAG